rnacentral:lncRNA from 1 species
GCUUUCUGGCGAGUCAUCCUUCACCAGGCGCAGGACCGGCAUGCUGCUGUUUCAAAUUCUGCUCCUCCUGCUAAAAAUACAGAGUCAGGCUCGCUAUGAAGCUAUGGCCCGAAGUGAAACCCACGCAAACGUCCGGGAGUCUUUGGAAGGCCUCCAUACACCCACUAGCAAGUAGCUUCCCGGAAGGGUGGGCAAGAGCCCCCGAGCUGCCUCGGAGAAAUGGGUGCGGCUUCCCCAGGCAAUACAGCUCUUGGUUUUGGGAGGGUCUCUGACCUUAAGGAGCAAAAAAUAGUAAAGUCCCCAGGCCUUUUCCUGACUUGAA